rnacentral:rRNA from 1 species
UACGUAGGUGGCAAGCGUUGUCCGGAUUUACUGGGCGUAAAGGGCUCGUAGGCGGCCAACUAAGUCAGACGUGAAAUCCCCAGGCUCAACCUGGGAACUGCGUCUGAUACUGGAUGGCUUGAAUCCGGGAGAGGGAUGCAGAAUUCCAGGUGUAGCGGUGAAAUGCGUAGAUAUCUGGAGGAAUACCGGUGGCGAAGGCGGCAUCCUGGACCGGCAUUGACGCUGAGGAGCGAAAGCUAGGGGAGCAAACGGG